rfam:Fukomys damarensis contig150126, whole genome shotgun sequence.
GGAUGUGAGGGCGAUCCGGCUGAGACAUCUGUCGCCCCAUUGAUUGUCAGGGUUGAUUCGGCUGACCUGGCCUGGCUAGGCAGGUGUCCCCUUCCUCCCGCAGGGCUCCAUAUGUGUCCCUCCCAAUGCGAUGCUCGGCGGUCAAAGAGAACAACCAUGCCCAAGAGAGGAGAGGAGGACUGUAUACUCAAGGGUAUAUGAGUAGCUGCGCUCCCCUGCUAGAACUUCCAAACAAGCUCUAAAGGCUGACAAAGAGAAUAUAGCAUUCACUGUCAUAUUUGGGCUUUCUUGUAAGAAUUGUAGCUCAGUCACAUAGUUCAUAUGGGACAGCUGU